rnacentral:tmRNA from 1 species
UUGCAAUCAUCAAAGAAAGUGUUAUCAUAAACUCGCUAGAAGUGGCUACGAUGAUAAACGUCAUGAGUAAUAGGUGUUGUGGACUCGGGGGCGGAGCCCGACACUUCCACCAGAAUUUAUGGGAGUGAAUAGAUUCGACACAGACUGAAAGGCGUGGCUUUCAUUCGGGGUGGUUUCCGUUAUAAGACCAAAUAAAUAUAAAUGCGAACGAUAAUUUAGUCGCAUGCAACGAUAACUUUGAUGCGGUGGCUUUGGCAGCCUAAUCGAGGGUAAGUAGACGCGGUUUGGAGGUACCGGGCAACAUAAACCUC